GACAAGGGAAAUUCAAUUGUUUAAUUAAAACAAAGCAUUGCAAUGGUCCCUACGGAUGCUCACGCAAUGUGAUUUUUGCCCAGUGCUCUGAAUGUUAAAGUGAAGAAAUUCAACCAAGCGCGGGUAAACGACUGGAGUAACUAUGACUCUCUUAAGGUAGCCAAAUACCUCGUCAUCUAAUUAGUGAUGCACAUGACUGGAUUAACAAGAUUCCC
rnacentral:rRNA from 1 species